rnacentral:tRNA from 1 species
GCUGAAACGGCAUAAAACAGAAGGGUUAGGGACUCAUAAUCCCUUGGUCGUAGGUUCGAGUCCUACCGGGCCCA